rnacentral:rRNA from 1 species
AGUGAACGCUGGCGGUAGGCCUAACACAUGCAAGUCGAACGGCAGCACAGUAAGAGCUUGCUCUUACGGGUGGCGAGUGGCGGACGGGUGAGGAAUACAUCGGAAUCUACUUUUUCGUGGGGGAUAACGUAGGGAAACUUACGCUAAUACCGCAUACGACCUACGGGUGAAAGCAGGGGAUCUUCGGACCUUGCGCGAUUGAAUGAGCCGAUGUCGGAUUAGCUAGUUGGCGGGGUAAAGGCCCACCAAGGCGACGAUCCGUAGCUGGUCUGAGAGGAUGGUCAGCCACCCUGGAACUGAGACACGGUCCAGACUCCUACGGGAGGCAGCAGUGGGGAAUAUUGGACAAUGGGCGCAAGCCUGAUCCAGCCAUACCGCGUGGGUGAAGAAGGCCUUCGGGUUGUAAAGCCCUUUUGUUGGGAAAGAAAAGCAGCAGGUUAAUACCCCGCUGUUCUGACGGUACCCAAAGAAUAAGCACCGGCUAACUUCGUG